UACGAAGGGGGCUAGCGUUGCUCGGAAUUACUGGGCGUAAAGGGAGCGUAGGCGGAUCGUUGAGUUGGGGGUGAAAGCCCGGGGCUCAACCUCGGAAUUGCCUUCAAUACUGGCGAUCUUGAGUAUGGGAGAGGUGUGUGGAACUCCGAGUGUAGAGGUGAAAUUCGUAGAUAUUCGGAAGAACACCAGUGGCGAAGGCGACACACUGGCCCAUUACUGACGCUGAGGCUCGAAAGCGUGGGGAGCAAACAGG
rnacentral:rRNA from 1 species